ensembl:snoRNA
CUUCAUGGGUGGCCUCCUAUUUGUGCCAUUGUGUCUGGGUCAUAGAAGCCCUGUGAUGGAGCCUAAGAGCUGGAUUAAG